CGCCUCUCAAUUCUUACCACAAGGCUGUGUUCUUUACACUGACUGUAUAGAAAGAGGAAGUACAGUAAAUACAUCCCAUGAACACCUCAAUCCAGGCCCCUUGCCUGGUCUGUAUUGUGAAUUGGGGAACAAAA